UACGAAGGGGGGUAGCGUUGUUCGGAUUUACUGGGCGUAAAGCGCACGUAGGCGGAUCGUUAAGUCGGGGGUGAAAUCCUGGAGCUCAACUCCAGAACUGCCUUCGAUACUGGCGAUCUAGAGUCCGGAAGAGGUGAGUGGAACUCCUAGUGUAGAGGUGGAAUUCGUGGAUAUUAGGAAGAACACCAGUGGCGAAGGCGGCUCACUGGUCCGGUACUGACGCUGAGGUGCGAAAGCGUGGGGAGCAAACAGG
rnacentral:rRNA from 1 species